GACGAACGCUGGCGGCGUGCCUAAUACAUGCAAGUCGAACGCAGUGGGGACGGGUGAGUAACACGUGGGUAACCUCCCAUCAGAGGGGAUAACACUUGGAAACAGGUGCUAAACCGAUACUGAUGGAUGAACCCGCGGUUCAUUAGCUAGUUGGUGGGGUAACGGUUCACCAAGGCCACGAUGCAUAGCCGUCCUGUGAUGAGGAUGUGCCCCAUUGGGAUUGAGACACGGCCCAGACUCCUGCGGGACGCAGCAGUAGGGAAUCUUCGGCAAUGGACUAAAGUCUGACCGAGCAAGGCCGCGCGAGUGAAGAAGGUUUUCGGAUCGUAAAACUCUUUUAUUAGAGAAGCGGUAUCUAAUCAGAAAGCCACGGCUAACUACGUGCCAGCAGCCGCGGUAAUUC
rnacentral:rRNA from 1 species